ACGAACGCUGGCGGCAGGCCUAACACAUGCAAGUCGAGCGGACCCUUCGGGGUUAGCGGCGGACGGGUGAGUAACGCGCGGGAAUAUGCCCUUCUCUACGGAAUAGUCCUGGGAAACUGGGGGUAAUACCGUAUACGCCCUUUGGGGGAAAGAUUUAUCGGGGAAGGAUUAGCCCGCGUUGGAUUAGGUAGUUGGUGGGGUAAUGGCCUACCAAGCCGACGAUCCAUAGCUGGUUUGAGAGGAUGAUCAGCCACACUGGGACUGAGACACGGCCCAGACUCCUACGGGAGGCAGCAGUGGGGAAUCUUAGACAAUGGGGGCAACCCUGAUCUAGCCAUGCCGCGUGAGUGAUGAAGGCCUUAGGGUUGUAAAGCUCUUUCAGCUGGGAAGAUAAUGACGGUACCAGCAGAAGAAGCCCCGGCUAACUCCGUG
rnacentral:rRNA from 1 species